rnacentral:tRNA from 1 species
GGGGAUAUAGCUCAGCUGGUACAGUGCUUGCCUUGCAUGCAAAAGGCCCUGGGUUUGAUUCCCAGCACCA